AGCGUAGACGGUGCAGCAAGUCUGAAGUGAAAUCCCAGGGCUCAACCCUGGAACUGCUUUGGAAACUGUCGUACUAGAGUGCAGGAGAGGUAAGUGGAAUUCCUAGUGUAGCGGUGAAAUGCGUAGAUAUUAGGAGGAACACCAGUGGCGAAGGCGGCUUACUGGACUGUAACUGACGUUGAGGCUCGAAAGCGUGGGGAGCAAACA
rnacentral:rRNA from 1 species